rnacentral:rRNA from 1 species
UACGAACCGUGCGAACGUUGUUCGGAAUCACUGGGCUUAAAGGGCGCGUAGGCGGGCAAUCAAGUCCGGGGUGAAAGCCCCCAGCUCAACUGGGGAAGUGCCUUGGAAACUGCUUGUCUAGAGGGAGGUAGGGGUAUGUGGAACUUCGGGUGGAGCGGUGAAAUGCGUUGAUAUCCUAAGGAACACCGGUGGCGAAAGCGGCUCACUGGAUCUUAUCUGACGCUGAGGCACGAAAGCCAGGGUAGCAAACGGG